ACUCUUAUGGUGUAACGGUAGCACGGCGAUCUUUGGAAUCGUCCGGUCUUGGUUCGAAUCCAGGUAGGAGUGC
rnacentral:tRNA from 2 species